AUUUUUUGGCCAAGCGAUUUUUUAUAAGCUGGAUGGUUGAAUAGUUCAAAAUGAUCUAUAAGAUGUACUGUUUGGAUCGACUAGAGCUAUUUUAGCAACAAGUGUUUUAGUUGAUCAAAGCAUGGACCUCACUCCGUGUAUAUAGUAUAUAACUCCAUUUUAAAUUAAGAAGAAGAAAAAAUAAAAUUAGGACACACUCUGUGUAUAUAGCUAUGGUAAGGCCCCCUUUGGAUUGCAUGAAACAAAAGAAAAAAAAUAUAGGAUUCACAUUCCUAUAGUUUUUUCCUAUGAAAAACAAAAGAAAAAAACGCAGGAAACUUUUCUUUGCGUUUGAUUUCAUAGGAAUUCUAUAGAAAAAAUAUCCAAUCAGACCUCAUGUUUUGGUUUUAUGUGUUUCUCCUACGGUUCAUCCAAAGUUCCAAACACAGGGGCGGACGGCACAGGCCGCUACUCAAAUUUUGCUUUGUAGUGGUACAUGCUUUUUUUUUCACCAUGAGUGCCCCCGCACAAAUGAAUCACAAGGCCAUCACACACCACCAAAUAUAAAAUUGACUUGAUAAUCAUAUUUAGUGUGUCUCCGGUCAUUUUUUUUCUCUAAGUCUGCCCAUAUCCAAACACCUAUUCCUGCAAACUUUCUUUGUUUUUCAUUCCUCCAUUCUGAAUAUGCAUUUCUAUCCCAUUUCUGCAUUUUUGCUAUUUCUUUUUUUUUUCAAUCCUGCAUGGGCUUGCUUGGUUUGUCACUGCAUACUCUGUGCAUAUAGUACAGUAGUAUAUGGCUAGGAGUUAUUGGUUUGUCACUGCAUAUUUCCACACCAGACCAUAUUAAGGUGUCGCCAACAAUUGAUUUGUGAGGUACGGUUAACAGUACACUUCCAACAUCAAUGCAUCAUGAGUACAUUUAUAGUAUACAGGCUUGGCAAAU
rnacentral:lncRNA from 1 species